UUGGUUUCUACUCCUACUUUUUUGAAUGUUAGUUGUGUGGUUUUAACUUGGAUUUGCAUAGUCCAAACACAUGUACGCUUACUCUCCAUCAAACAUUCAACGUUAUCAUCGCAUCUCUUAAGAUUCCAGUAGGCGGAUCAAUCAUACUAUUGAGGACUUACAUACAAGGGGAUUUUGAUGCGGUGGUAUUCCAGCCAGUUAAACAUUGUCAUGUUUUGUUGAGAUAAACUUCAAUGCAAUGUGAAUUCUGUUGUUAUGGUGGUAUCACAAACCAAUCACACACUAUCAUGUAAGAGUUAACUGACUAAUUCAUAUAUCGCCACAGUUGCAUCUCGUUACAGGCACAUAAGUCAUUUGGGUAUGUUGCCAAAUUAUCACCAAACCCCCAUCUCCAGCAAUUCCUUUCCUCCAACCCACAUGGGUUUUUCUCAAGGAAGGGUAGAAUAUAAUUAUUGUUUAUUAUUCUGAGUUAUAUAGGUAGCUAGGAAUAGGUGCGGGCUAUAGCAACACAGACAGAGUUGUGCUGACUGGUGUGAUAGAGAAAUGGUGAUCAGUGCAAGGUGUUGCUUGAGCAACUCCAUGAGAGUUUUGAAUUUAUUUGUCAAUGUUUGUGGAGUUGCAGUCAUCAUCUACUGCCUUUGGCUCACCAAGAAAUGGCAAGUUGGAGUCUCUGAGCUCCCUCCUGUCCCAAUUAUCCCUCAGCCCUGGUUUAUAUAUACAUGUUUAGGUAUGGGAAUUGCUGUCUGCCUCAGCACCCUUUGCGGUCAUAUUGUUGCCCAUUCCGUCAGCAGUUUUAUUCUCUUCAUUUACAUAAUCUUCGUCUUCUGUCUUCUUUGCCUUGAAGUUGGAGUGAUUGUCUCAAUUUUCUUUAGGAUGGACUGGGAAGUGCAAUUCGCCAAGUACAUUGAUGAGGAUCACACCCCGUUCAAAAAGUUCUUGAGGUUUCAUCUAAACAUGUGCCGCAUCAUUGUAAUUCUCAUUUUGAUACCGCAGAUCAAGGCUACCGUGCUGGGAAUCAUUCUUUGGGCCAUUGGUUCUGAGCCGAGGACGGAACAUUUCAACUCUUCUGAUGUCACAAACUUCAGAUACUCAUUUCUAGCAGCACCUACACAAUCGUUACAAGAUAUAUCAAGACAUGGAUUCAGAAACUACGAAGUUUCAUCACCAGAAUUUGAAUCUCCACCACGCCCAAGCCUUUUUUCAAAUGUACAAAGAUUUUUCAGAAUGCGUUUUCAUAGAAGAGUCACCCUUAGUUAGGGCAGAAGUAUAUAAGUUUUGGGUUUAGGGUCCCCUGCAUUUUUGUGUUUAGUUGAGGGGGUUCAGAAGUAUAUAAUCUUGGCAGUGCCAUUAGUUCACUGUCGCUGAAAUGGUAAAAGCUUUUACCGUUGAAAACCAACAACCGCUUGUCCGAAACUCCAAAUCUCAGCUCAGCACCCCCGCCAUCCUGGUCCAAAACUCUACGGACGAUUUCCUGCACUGCCACUCUCUCAGCUGGAGAUCAUGGCGUCUGAACAUGGCGGUUCCGCAUUUGCAAACAUUCCUCAGGUUCCUGAAGCAACAAUUCCCGUGCAGGUCUAGCUAUGAAGACAUAUCGUUACUAUGAUCCACGAACACACGGACUAGACUUUGAAGUUCCAGUCUCGGCGACUGACAGGAAUGCUGGAAGAUCUUUGUUCUGGCCCAACAGGAGCUAUCGUGCUUCUCCAAGCAUGUGCGCAUAACCCCACCGGUAUGUUGAUCCAACUAUGCCACAGUGGGAGCAGAUAAUUUCUUUGAUAUUGCUUAGCAGGGAAGAGGAAUUCUCGGAUUUAGUUUUGCGCGGGCAAAGUGUGGGCUUUGAGAGUGAACCGAAGUUAUCUAGCAAUUCAAUGGAAUCAGAGAAGGAAUUUCCAUAUUUGAACCAGAGCCUGUACCCAAAUAUUGAGCUGUAAGCUGUCUACAACGAAUAUUGAGCCGUAUAGGAAAUCUAUUGCAAGGAGCGGAUGGAAAGAAGCACGACCCAUCCUGUGAAAACUGGAGGAAGAGAUAGGCGGAGCGGCAUUUUGUUGCUUAGGAUUCAACUACGUAUGCUCUUUCUGAGUACUUUUUAUGUUGGUUUUCUUCUUAUGUUUAUUAUUUUCUUGGUAAAUUGUUAACACGCUUUUGUAAACUGAUAGAUAUGUCGAUAUAUAAUUUAUGGAACUAUUACGGUUCCCUUAAUUGAAGAAUAAUUUGUACUAGAUAUUAGAAUUCCAGGGUAUAAUGAAAUGCCCACUGCAUGAGAAUCUUUUAUUUUUCAUAAUUAAUUUUGUUAAUGCAAUAUUUUCUUCUUAACAUUCUAUUUGGUUUUGGAGACUGCUUUUACAAAAUUAUGAGUUUUUUGUGUGUAUAAUAGUAAAAGAAGAGAGCCUUUGGAGGGUGCUCAUAUAUAGGCUGCGAUAAGAUUUAUGAAUAAGGUUGGGUAUUUCUUGCUGGUGAUUGUAUGAUUGAAGUCGGUUUCCUUUCUUCACCUUUAUGCUGGGUAGUUGAUUUUGGGAGUUUUGCUUGGAUAUCUACACAACACCAGGCCUAGAUCCAUCAUUAAUGAGUGAAUUGGACAUCAUGGCACUUAUUAUGCUCUAAAUAGUUUAAUUUUCAAUUUUUGUAUGUACAUUUUAGCUUUAAAGUUUUUGUAGUUUAAGUUUUCGUUUUCAUUAACUCUAUAAGCUUAAUUUCUUUCGUUUUAGGUGCUCAAAAACCGAUUGAGAAUGACACAACCAGAGACAAUUUGGGUACAAACUCAACUGCAAACGAAAAAAAUUGUUCAGGAGAAGUUGCUUCUUUUUUUGGAUGUUACUGACGGGUGGAAAUCAGACUAUUUGUUCGAAGUGUCUACCAAUUAGAUUUGAUUGCACAAAAAUAAUGUUGUUGCCGUACCUAUUAUUUUAUAGUGUCAUACAACAGUAUGCUUAUAGAUGUAUGCUUCUAUAAGCUAUCAAAGCAAAGAGAAAUUUUCUUUUCUUGAUCCGUGUUAAAUGUGUGUAUAUAUGCAGCAUGAUUUUAUUUUAUUUGGAAAUAUACUACCAUUGCAUACCUA